UACAGAGGUCUCAAGCGUUGUUCGGAUUUAUUGGGCGUAAAGGGCGCGUAGGCGGUGCGGUAAGUCACCUGUGAAAUCUCCUGGCUUAACUGGGAGCCUGCAGGCGAAACUACCGUGCUGGAGUGUGGGAGAGGUGCGUGGAAUUCCCGGUGUAGCGGUGAAAUGCGUAGAUAUCGGGGGGAACACCAGUGGCGAAGGCGGCUCACUGGCCCGAUACUGACGCUGAGGCACGAAAGCGUGGGGAGCAAACAGG
rnacentral:rRNA from 1 species